GUCGUUAAUAGCAGAUUGGAUAUACCCAGACGGAUGAACCAGGUUUCCAAGGAGUGCCCACUCAUCGCUUUUUACCCUGCCACCCCAACCUUAAUUAAGAAUGAAGUUCACAAAUCUCAGUAGUGUAAUUUAGAUAUCAAUUUU